CCGAGCCGAGCGAGGUAUGGUGUUCUUACUGGGAAAUGCUUAGUAGGAACUUCAUACCAUGCUCGGCUCGG